CCUACGGGGCGCUGCAGUGAGGAAUAUUGGUCAAUGGACGAGAGUCUGAACCAGCCAAGUAGCGUGAAGGAUGACUGCCCUAUGGGUUGUAAACUUCUUUUAUAUGGGAAUAAAACGUUCCACGUGUGGGAUUUUGUAUGUACCAUAUGAAUAAGGAUCGGCUAACUCCGUGCCAGCAGCCGCGGUAAUACGGAGGAUCCGAGCGUUAUCCGGAUUUAUUGGGUUUAAAGGGAGCGUAGGUGGAUUGUUAAGUCAGUUGUGAAAGUUUGCGGCUCAACCGUAAAAUUGCAGUUGAAACUGGCAGUCUUGAGUACAGUAGAGGUGGGCGGAAUUCGUGGUGUAGCGGUGAAAUGCUUAGAUAUCACGAAGAACUCCGAGUGCGAAGGCAGUUCACUGGACUGCAACUGACACUGAGGCUCGAAAGUGUGGGUAUCAAACAGGAUUAGAUACCCGGGUAGUC
rnacentral:rRNA from 1 species